AAUGAGGACUAGAAUCAACGGCAUCACGAGGAUCCCACUGUCUCCCCCCUCCAAUCAGUGAAACUGAUCUCUCCGUGAAGAAGCGGGGAUACAAAUAUAAGACGAGAAGACCCCAUGGAGCUUUAAACCCAACAGCACCCGUUUAUUUUCAUCCUCACAUAAGUUAGGUUAUGCCUGUUUGGUUUUAGGUUGGGGUGACCACGGAGUAUAAAACAACCUCCAUGAAAAAAGGACCAAAAAUCCUUAUUAGAGAAAGACAUUUCUAAAAUUAAUAAAUUAAUUUUUAAUGAUCCGAUAUUCGAUCAACGAACCAAGUUACCC
rnacentral:rRNA from 1 species